rnacentral:rRNA from 1 species
UACGUAGGCAGCGAGCGUUUGUUCGGAAUUACUGGGCGUAAAGAGUGUGUAGGUGGUGUCGUAAGUUUGGUGUGAAAUCUCCCGGCUUAACUGGGAGGGUGCGCCGAAGACUGCGAUGCUGGAGUAUGGGAGAGGAAAGCGGAAUUCCUGGUGUAGCGGUGAAAUGCGUAGAUAUCAGGAGGAACACCUGCGGUGUAGACGGCUUUCUGGACCAUUACUGACACUGGAGGCACAGAAAAGCGUGGGUAGCAAACAGG